GAUGAACGCUGGCGGCGUGCCUAAUACAUGCAAGUCGAGCGAACAGACGAGGAUCUUGCUCCUCUGACGUUAGCGGCGGACGGGUGAGUAACACGUGGAUAACCUACCUAUAAUACUGGUAUAACUUCGGGAAACCGGAGCUAAUACCGGAUAAUAUAUUGAACCGCAUGGUUCAAUAGUGAAAGACGGUUUUGCUGUCACUUAUAGAUGGAUCCGCGCCUCAUUAGCUAGUUGGUAAGGUAACGGCUUACCAAGGCAACGAUGCGUAGCCGACGUGAGAGGGUGAUCGGCCACACUGGAACGGAGACACGGUCCAGACUCCUACGGGAGGCAGCAGUAGGGAAUCUUCCGCAAUGGGCGAAAGCUUGACGGAGCAACGCCGCGUGAGUGAUGAAGGGCUUCGGAUCGUAAAACUCUGUUAUUAGGGAAGAACAAAUGUGUAAGUAACUAUGCACGUCUUGACGGUACCUAAUCAGAAAGCCACGGCUAACUACGUG
rnacentral:rRNA from 1 species